CGAACGGGUGAGUAAUGCGUGACCAACCUGCCCCAUGCUCCAGAAUAGCUCUUGGAAACGGGUGGUAAUGCUGGAUGCUCCAACUUGACGCAUGUCUUGUUGGGAAAGUGUUUAGUGGCAUGGGAUGGGGUCGCGUCCUAUCAGCUUGUAGGUCGGGGUAAUGGCCCACCUAGGCUUCGACGGGUAGCCGGCCUGAGAGGGCGGACGGCCACAUUGGGACUGAGAUACGGCCCAGACUCCUACGGGAGGCAGCAGCA
rnacentral:rRNA from 1 species